UCGAACGAAGCAUUUCGGAGGAAGUUUUCGGAUGGAAUCUGGAAUGACUGAGUGGCGGACGGGUGAGUAACGCGUGGGUAACCUGCCCUGUACUGGGGGACAACAGUUAGAAAUGACUGCUAAUACCGCAUAAGCGCACAGGACCGCAUGGUCCGGUGCGAAAAACUCCGGUGGUACAGGAUGGACCCGCGUCUGAUUAGGUAGUUGGCGGGGUAACGGCCCACCAAGCCGACGAUCAGUAGCCGACCUGAGAGGGUGACCGGCCACAUUGGGACUGAGACACGGCCCAAACUCCUACGGGAGGCAGCAGUGGGGAAUAUUGCACAAUGGGGGGAACCCUGAUGCAGCGACGCCGCGUGAGUGAAGAAGUAUUUCGGUAUGUAAAGCUCUAUCAGCAGGGAAGAAAAUGACGGUACCUGACUAAGAAGCCCCGGCUAACUACGUGCCAGCAGCCGCGGUAAUACGUAGGGGGCAAGCGUUAUCCGGAUUUACUGGGUGUAAAGGGAGCGUAGACGGUAGAGCAAGUCUGAAGUGAAAGCCCGCGGCUCAACUGCGGGACUGCUUUGGAAACUGUUCAACUGGAGUGCUGGAGAGGUAAGCGGAAUUCCUAGUGUAGCGGUGAAAUGCGUAG
rnacentral:rRNA from 1 species